rnacentral:rRNA from 1 species
AGGGCACCACCAGGAGUGGAGCCUGCGGCUUAAUUUGACUCAACACGGGGAAACUUACCCGGCCUGGACACUGGAAGGAUUGACAGAUUUAGAGCUCUUUCUUGAUUCAGUGGGUGGUGGUGCAUGGCCGUUCUUAGUUGGUGGAGCGAUUUGUCUGGUUAAUUCCGAUAACGAACGAGACUCUAGCCUAUUAAAUAGGCUCUCGGCUUUUAAACGCCGGGAGGACUUCUUAGAGGGACAGGUGGCGGUUCAGCCGCACGAAAGAGAGCAAUAACAGGUCUGUGAUGCCCCUUGUUGUCCGGGGCCGCACGCGCGCUACACUGAAGAGAUCAGCGUGCUUUACGUUCCUGCUCCGACCGGAGUGGGGAACCCAGUGAACCUUCUUCGUGAUUGGGAUAGAAGAUUGUAAUUAUUCUUCUUGAACGAGGAAUUCCCAGUAAAUGCGAGUCAUAAGCUCGCGUUGAUUACGUCCCUGCCCUUUGUACACACCGCCCGUCGCUACUACCGAUUGAACGAUUU